CAAACACUGUUUCUCAUAUGAUCACUAAAGUCAAGCAACAUCGAGCCUGAGCAGUACCUAGAUGGGUGACCACUUUAGAAUACCAGAUGCUGUAAG